rnacentral:sRNA from 1 species
ACCCCAGCAAAGAGCUAACGCCACCUCAGAGUGAGUGCCGGAGAUAAGCGCCGGGCGGGGUAUAACAG